AUAAUUCAAGAAACUGUAUUUCACCGAGCAAACAUGUUCACAUAAUAUACAGAAUGCGCAGAGUGCAAUAAAGUCGGAAUUGACGUUUUUUGAAAUAAGCAGUUUACCUAUAGUUAGGUUACACAGGUUGGAGCACAGCGUCGUAUCGCGUGUCAUCGGUUCGGAAGCGUGUUCAAAACUAAGAAAACAUCUUCUUCUGCAAUGUGUAGUCGAUUCGCAGUACAAUUUAUCCAAAAUGUGU